CACGCAGCCGAGACAUUACAGUAAAAAGGCUUUAAAACGUUGUCAGAAGCAGUUAAACAGCUUUAAAUCGUCCUCCGCAGUAAAAGGACUAAUAACUCCUUUCAGCCACGUGGAGUGAAACUAAUUUCUCUCACUCACUACAACACUGAUACUGCCUGUGUCCAGUCAUCAUCAUUAUCCACGCUGCCAGCUAAAUCAAGAUGCAGAACACAGGGAACAGCACUCUGACAGUUAACCCUCAAUGCUCCUAUAAGGAAGAUGGCACACACAGCUUGCCAAGAAUCAAGUCUAGAUACACAACACUGUCCAGAGCAUCCAGUCAAACAAAUCUGACUUCAGCUAGCGCCGAUUCAGCAAGAUCUAAGCGUACUAGUUCUAGACGUUCAGGCAUCACCAGUCUGUCAUCGGCUAGCGACAAAGCGACUAGGGCAAGAGCAAAAGCAGAGGCAGCUUGCGCCAUGGCUUCUUAUGCGGAGCAGGAAGCUGAAUUGAUGAGAGAGCAAGCAAAAAGUGAAUCUGAAGCACUUAAAAAGAAAGCAGAAGUGGAAGCAUCUUUACACUUACUCAAACAGCAGAAAAACGCGGCAGCAGCCUUAGCCGAGGCAGAAGUUUUCACAAGGGCUGCUGAAGCUCAGUUCGAUGGCAUAGAAAACCAGACGUUAUCCCACAGCGCAAUCCAACGCACCUGUGAGUACGUACAGUCACAAGCAACCAUGUACACCGAUCAGCAGUCCAAUGACGCACCUAGGCUUUCAUUGACACCACCAGCAAUAAGCAACUUUGAUACUACGCAACAUUGCAAGACUAAAUCAGAAUCUCAGUGUGGGAAGUCAAGUGGUCGCAUGCUUAGAGACCAUUCUGCCAACCCUCCAAGAGUGCAAACGGAUGCUCGCGUACUCCCUCCUCAAGCAAAUACAAGUCUGGAUUAUAGCAGAAAGACUUACAACAGACGAGAACAACCACCUAAACAAAGUAGAUUCAGACAAGCGCCUCAUCAGCCUUACCAACCGCAACCAUACCCUGAGUUUACACGUGAGAAGCAUUCGCCAGACGCAACAAGUGCUAUAGAAGUGGCAAAAUUCCUGAUGCACCGUGAGAUAGUGGGCGCUGGUCUCAUGAAAUUCGAUGACCGUCCAGAAAACUACUGGGCCUGGAAAUCAUCUUUCCUGAGCGGUACCCAAGACUUAAACCUGACAGAGAAAGAAAAGCUUGACCAGCUUGUCAGAUGGCUAGGUCCAGAGUCCACUGAGCAAGCCCAAAGGAUCAGAUCAGUACAUGUUCAUGACGCAGCAGCAGGACUUGCAAUGGUGUGGCGGAGACUAGAACAAUGCUAUGGAUCACCUGAAGUGAUCGAGGAUGCUCUUCUGAAAAGGAUAGAAAACUAUCCAAGAAUAACAAAUAAGGAUUACCAAAAGCUGAGAGGUUUGGGAGACCUACUCUUAGAAAUAGAAGCCGCUAAGUCUAGUGGAUAUCUGCCAGGUCUCUCAUAUCUUGAUACAGCACGUGGAGUUGAGCCCAUAAUCGAGAAACUUCCUUACAACUUGCAAGAAAGGUGGGUAGCUCAAGCUUCAAGAUACAAGAAAGAUCAUCAUGUUGCAUUUCCACCAUUCGUCUUCUUCGCUGAAUUCAUAGAAGACCAAGCUGAAAUACGCAAUGACCCAAGCUUUGCUUUCCUGAACAAGAGAACGGCAAGCUUCCCAAAGGUAGAGCAGAAACCUCCAGGGCUUUACAAAGAACGCAGAGCAACAGUUUCUGUAAGGAAGACAGAAGUUCCGCCUGAAUCUGCAGCUAAUCAGGAAGACAACACAAGGAAGAAAGUUGAGGAGUCAGACAAAAUAUGUCCUAUCCACAAUAAGCCUCAUCCACUAAGAAAAUGUCGCAGUUUCAGAAGUAAGACGUUAGAAGAGCGCAAAGCUUAUCUUAAAGACAAUCGCAUUUGUUUCAGAUGCUGCGCUUCAAUUCAGCAUCUUGCAAAAGACUGUACAAAAACAAUACAAUGCACAGAGUGUAACAGUGACAAACACUUGUCAGCACUGCACCCGGGACCACCACCAUGGAAACAAGAAGUUCAAGCAACUCAAGAAGAUCAUGGUGGGGAGCAAGGAGAGAGUAUAACGCCAGCAGUAACCUCAAAGUGCACUGAGAUCUGUACAGAGCAGGGCCGCUCAAGAUCGUGCUCCAAGAUAUGCUUAGUCAAGGUGUAUCCAGCAGGUUUUAGAGAAAAAGCAAUCAAGAUGUACACGGUCAUGGAUGAACAGAGUAACAGAUCUCUGGCAAAAACAGAAUUCUUUGACCUCUUCGGAGACAAAGGAAGUCCAACUCCAUACACCUUGAAGACUUGUUCUGGAGUUGUAGAGACAAUAGGGAGAAGAGCAAAUAACUACAUCAUCGAGUCUUUAGAUGGAAAGACAAAGGUGACUCUACCUACCCUGAUAGAAUGCGAUGAGAUACCAGACGACAGGUCAGAGAUACCCACACCUGAAGUUGCUCGUCAUCACCCUCAUCUGGUGCGAAUAGCAGACCAAAUACCAGCACUAGAUCCAGAUGCUGCAAUCACCCUUCUACUUGGGAGAGAUAUUCUCAGAUUGCACAAAGUCAGAGAACAGUACAAUGGGCCACACAAUGCACCAUUUGCACAACGCCUUGAUCUCGGAUGGGUCAUCGUUGGAGAAGUAUGUCUAGACGGACUGCACAAACCAUCAAAGGUAAAUGUCUACAGAACACAUCUGUUGCAGAAUGGUCGUACAUCUUGUCUUUGCCCAUGUACCAACAGUCUACACAUUAAAGAGAGAUUAGAUAACCCAACACAUCAUCGGAGUAUCCAGAGGUGCAUGGAAGACUUAGCCUCAACUGGAAAUACAGAUGAACUGGGUUGUAAGGUGUUUGAAAGAACACGAGAUGACGACAAGCCAGCACCCUCGGUAGAAGAUACCCUCUUCCUCGAGAUCAUGGACAGAGAAGUCUACAGAGACAAGUCAGGCAGCUGGGUAGCCCCUCUACCCUUCCGGUCACCACGCCAUCGCCUUCCUGUCAACAAGGUACAAGCAGAGAAACGCUUCAGUUUGUUGCAGCGCACUCUACAAAGAAAGCCAGAUAUGAAGAAACACUUCCAAGCCUUCAUGCAAAAGAUUUUUGACAACGAGCAUGCAGAAAGGGCACCACCACUACAAGAAAACCAAGAACACUGGUACUUACCAAUAUUUGGAGUGUAUCAUCCUCAAAAACCAGGUCAGAUACGUGUAGUAUUUGACUCUAGUGCGAAGCACGAAGGCAUCUCACUAAAUGACGUCCUUCUCAGCGGACCUGACCUGAACAACACACUCCUUGGAGUACUCAUCAGGUUCAGGAAAGAACUUGUAGCAGUAACAGCAGAUGUACAACAGAUGUUCUACUGUUUCUUCGUUCGAGAAGAUCACCGAGACUACUUAAGGUUCCUGUGGUAUGCAGACAAUGACUUUAACAAAGACAUCAUAGAGUACAGGAUGAAGGUACAUGUGUUCGGAAACAGCCCUUCCCCAGCUGUAGCUAUCUACAACCUGAAACGAGCAGCACAGCAAGGUGAAAGACAUGGUCAAGAAGCCAAACAGUUCGUCAUGAAGAACUUCUACGUGGACGAUGGACUUGCUUCUUUCUCCAGCAACGAAGAAGCUAUUAACGUCCUAAAAAGUACAAAAGAAAUGUUGGCAGAAUCCAACAUAAAAUUGAACAAGGUAGCUUCCAACAGCUACAGAGUCAUGGAAGCAUUUCCAAUGGAAGACCGUGCUAAAGACCUCAAAGACUUAGAUCUAGGAACAGAAUCACCACCCUUGCAAAGAAGUCUUGGGCUUAGUUGGGACUUAAAGACUGACAGUUUCACCUUCAGGGUCUCCAGAGAAGAGAAACCAUUCACAAAAAGAGGUGUCCUAUCUACAGUCAACAGUCUUUAUGACCCCCUGGGAUUCGUAGCACCCAUCAUCAUGCAAGGCAAAGCUUUUUUGAGACAGAUCACUACUGAGCAGGAACAAAUUGACUGGGACGUACUUCUUCCUGACGAGAAGCGAAUGCAGUGGAAGGUGUGGAAAGACUCAUUGUUAGAGCUUGAACAACUCUACAUUUCAAGACCGUACGUAUUUGUUUCCUUGUCUGCUACAAAGAGGAGAGAAUUAUGCGUAUUCUCUGACGCUUCCACUAUGGCUAUUGCAGCUGUAACUUACCUAAGGGUAAUAGACACUGAGGGACAAAGCCAUGUUGGGUUCAUCAUGGGAAAAUCUAAACUAGCUCCCAGACCUGCUCACACUGUCCCACGUCUAGAACUUUGUGCUGCUGUCUUAGCGGUAGAGAUGGCAGACAUGAUUACGACUGAACUGGACAUUGAGAUCCAUGCAGUGAACUUUUAUACGGACAGCAAGAUUGUGUUAGGAUAUAUUCACAACGCUUCAAAAAGAUUUUACACAUACGUGACCAACAGAGUGACACGUAUCAGAAAGUCUACAAGUCCAGAUCAGUGGCAUUACAUCAGCACAGACAAGAACCCAGCGGAUCAUGGGACAAGAUUGGUGUCAGCCGCUGUACUCAAGCAAACUAACUGGUUCGUAGGUCCAUCGUUUCUUGGUAAGCCAGAAAUCAAAGAGACUACUCAGGUAGAGACCUUUCAGCUCAUAGAACCAGAUCAAGACAAAGAGGUAAGACCUCAAGUUGCAGUUUGCAAGACUUUAGUUACCAGAGACAGUCUGGGCGCCCAUAGAUUUGAAAGGUUUUCCAGAUGGAAGUCGCUGACUCGUGCAAUCGGAAAACUUAUCUGUCUAGCCAGAUACUCCUCCAGAGCUACUAAUACUGAUCAACGUAGCAACGACCAUCUUGAACAAGCCAAGGUCGCGAUCAUCAAAUGCGUCCAGCAGGAAGUCUUUAAAGAAGAAAUUCAAAGCCUUCUGAAAAAGAAAGAGAUUUCUCGACACAGUUCGCUCAAGAAGUUGAACCCUAUCCUCGACGAAGACGGAGUACUAAGAAUUGGAGGUCGUUUGUCGGCAGCGGAUAUGACUAUCCAAGAGAGACAUCCCUUCAUCAUACCUAAGAAUCAUCACAUCGCUCUUCUUCUGGUAAGACACUAUCACGAGCAAGUUGCACAUCAAGGACGACACUUCACUGAAGGAGCAGUACGGUCAGCAGGAUUGUGGAUCAUAGGAGGUAAGAGACUAGUCUCCAGCGUGAUCAGCCAAUGCGUUACCUGUAAGAAGAUUAGAGGGAAACUUGAGGUUCAGAAGAUGUCAAACUUACCUGCAGACAGACUUGCUUCAGAUCCUCCGUUCACUCACGUAGGUCUAGACGUUUUUGGACCAUGGAACAUCUCUUCUCGCAAGACUAGAGGAGGCAGUGCCGAAAGUAAACGUUGGGCUGUUCUGUUCUCUUGCCUGAGUACUAGAGCAGUUCAUAUUGAAGUGAUUGAAUCUUUAUCCACUUCAAGUUUCAUCAAUGCCUUGAGAAGAUUCUUCUCUAUCAGAGGACCAGCGAAAUUGAUUAGUUCAGACCGCGGCACAAACUUUAUUGGGGCCUGCAAGGAGUUGAAAAUCAUCUCUACAGACUCUGAAACAGGUUCCUAUCUUCAAGAUCAAGGAUGCACUUGGACUUUUAAUCCUCCACACGCAUCGCAUAUGGGAGGAGCAUGGGAGAGGAUGAUUGGAGUAGCUCGUCGUAUUCUGGAUGCCAUGCUCCUGAAGGUUGGGUCUACUCGCCUCACUCAUGAAGCUUUAACUACACUAAUGGCUGAAGUCGUGGCCAUUAUGAACGCCAGACCUUUGGUUCCAGUGUCUACAGAUCCAGAGAUGCCAUCAGUCUUGACACCCGCAAUGCUGCUGACCCAGAAGAUGGAACCAGUGACAGCUCCCACUGGAGACUUUGACCUCAAGGACUUGUAUACUAAGCAAUGGAGACAAGUUCAAAGCCUUGCAGACAUUUUCUGGAAGAGGUGGAGACAGGAAUACCUGGUGACACUCCAGCCACGCAAGAAAUGGCAGGAUGACAAACCCAACUUACAAGUUGGAGACAUUGUCUUAUUAAAAGACACUCAGGCCCACAGGAAUGAAUGGCCUAUUGGACUCAUUGUGGCGACUGAUCCUAGUGGUGAUGCUAGAGUUAGAAAAGUUGAAGUUAGAGUUGUUAGACAGGGCAUUCCCAAGGUGUAUGCUAGGCCAAUUUCUGAAGUAGUUUUACUUCUGUCCAAAGGUUAGUGGCAUAACCAAUGGUACGCCAGGUGGGGAGUGUGCUGCCUUUGCAAUGUAUAUUACAUGCUUGGCACUCAGUAGUGUCUGUUUCUUUAAGACCCUCCAUUUUCUUGAAGCCUAGAGGCGGGUCUUCUCUGUACUCUCUAGGGCUUGCUGGGACAUAUCCUGUUCAGUCCAGCUCUGGCUACUAUAGUGACCAGAUCCACAGGACAUCUUAAAGCUAUUACAGAUUGCAAACCUGACGAACACCAAAGCCUGCAUAAAUCAGUUGGUGGAUCAAUGAAGAUUCUGUUCAGUGAUAUACAUCCUGAAGAACAUGACAUACAAGAAUUUUUCUUAUAAGUCUGACACGAUGAUAAAGAUGUCCAGCAAAAAAUCUGCAGCAGCACCAGCAUAGGCCAUGGGUCUUCCAUGACCUUACAUCUACUGUGUCUUUUCUUCUCCGUAUGGAUGUACAGACAAUGAUUUUUCAUGCUGUGGGUACUUUUGAGUAACUGUAGAAUUUAUUUUAUAUGGACCACUUUUUUUCCUACUGGAUGGCAUGGACAGUGAUUGACAGUAUGCCUUGGUUCCAGUUCUAUUAGAACGAGUAAUAUCUUGUUUUACUGUUUUCAUCAGCUUCCGCUAUAAUUACUGUAUAUGAUAUUUAUUGCUGACAACAGGUUCGUCCCAUUGUUACCAAACCAUUUGACCAUUAUUAUGCCCCAUUAUUUUAGCUGGGUUUUGCGAAACAGAUAUUGCCAGUUUAAAAAUGUUAUGCAAAACCCUCGGAGAAGAGUAUCCAGAGAUUCCCCACAAAAACGCAACUUAUGAGGAAAGUUUUGCCCAAAAUUAAUAUUUUAUAGAAAUGGCCGAACAGGUCAAUUAUUAUUAUUUUAUUCUCCUUUUUUUAUGCUACUGUAAAGGUCCAUGUUAUGUGGUUGUCAAACCAUAUCUUCCUCAGUCAUUUUUAGUAACCACAUGCAUUCCUCGGGUAAUUACUCUGAGGCAUCUAUAAUUAUGACUCUAUGUUGUACCAUCCCUCUGUUAUUCCUACUAGAAGGUUGUGAUUGAAUUGCCAGCAGUCUGCAAUAAAGGUCCAGCUGGAUGUUACCAGUUGGGAGUGAGUCCCUGCACAGUCUGCCACUGGCAGUACUGAUUGGAUAGCGUCAGGGUCUCCCCCUUCUGGUAACACCCAGUUGGCCCUUCAUUGCAGACUUCUGGCAAAGUAUUUAUAAACUUCUAGUAGGAAUAAUAGAAGAGUGACAUAACAUAGAGUAAUAGGAAAAAAUGCAUCUUAUUUAGGGAAUGAAAGUAGUUACUACAACUGACAUGUCAGGAGAGGUGACUGGUCCUCUUUAAGAUCUCAGGGUUGUGACUGAACAAAUGCACCUUCAUAAACCUUCACAAUCCAUGCCAAUACACCUGCACAUACACACAUGUAUACCAAGACUUAAAAACUGAAAAAUGUUAAAAGAAGGCAUAACAUUCAUGUCAUGUGUGCCCAAGGAAUAAAUGGUAUCAUUACCGACAUCCCGGGGAUCGAUCAAAUAAUUUAUUUGCAAAAUCCGAGCAUUCCUGAUGUCAGAUGCCAAACCAGUACAUGACACGGAGCACAUACACAAUGUAUUGCUCUCCAUCUUUUCUCACAAUAUUUUAGAUGUAAUAUUUAAUGGUAUAAGUACUUUGAAGUGACCUUGACAGCCAUAUGAUUGGAAAAACCUGGAUAUUUUACGCUGCCUUGGAUAAUGUCCUAAAUUCUAACAACAUCCAGCCUUAUCAGAGAAUUUUAUGUUCUAAAUAGUAAUUUAUGUCUUUCACCCUUUAAAGUUAAAAGCAGAGAAAAAUGACUGUGACAAACACAAACAAUUGGACUGUGCAAAAAAAUAAGAUCAACAUUUUCUCCUAGAGCGUGAAGGGUAACUGUAAUUGAAAGAAGAUGCCUUAAUAAAUAAGGCUUUGUAGAGACACGGCCGUUGUGUUAUCCAGACUUUUAGGAAAUAUAAUUGCUUUUGUGCCCUAAUCAAGCAUAUUACCUAAUUUCCUCUGUUCCUCCGUGAUUUUAAUGUCAGUUAAAGACAAAAGGCCAAAAUAAAUAACUUCAGAUGACAAGUUGACUAUGUGACAAUUCCUUUAACUGAUAAAGGCACACUGAUCCAUUAUCCUCAAUCAGCCUCCAUGGCCCCUUGACAGUUUAUUUCAUGUAUGCAUUCUACUGUGAUAUACACCAUGUGACUUCUUUACACUUUUUGGUACAGUACUGUGUAGCACUGGUCCCAAUCAGUGGAUUAGGAGCCACACGUGUCUCUUAGGUUAGAGUACGACCGCCUGGUGUCACCGGCCUCACGCUACAAAGCCAUGCCCACCCGUGGUCUUAGGAUUACCAGAAUUUGGUACCAGAGUCAAAACUGUGUCAUAUGCCGUAUACACUAGAAUAGGAGCCAUAUUACACAGUAAUAUCUUUAAAAGGGUUUUCAGAGAAUCUACUGCUGAUGGCCUAUCCUCUGGAUCGUUGGAGGCUCGUCCGGAACUCCCGCUCAUCGGCUGUUUGAGAAAGCACUGGCGCUCCUGUGAGUGCCAUAGACUUCUCUCUGCUCACCAAGCACGGCGCUGUCCACUUGAUUUGGUAUUGCAGCUCAGUCCCGUUCACUUAAAUGUGUCUGAGCCGCGCCUAGGUCGUGUGACCUAUACUGAUACGCAGGAUAGAUCAUCAGUAGUAAAGUCUUGGAAAACCCCUUCUAUUGUGAUGUUUAUUGUGGCUUAAAAUCAGCUAUAGUAUGGGAAAGAGGCUAGUGACCUACAAGAGGUUGAGGGCGUUUGCUUUACCGUAUAUCAAUCACAGAAUAUCAACUUAAAUCUCUGCACGGCUAGCACUAAUGCAGCACAAUAACAGGAGGGCAGUAGCUUUAAUAUUAUGUUUAAACUAUAUUUAAAGGUGUUAUCCCAUGACUAAUGUAAAAAAUUAAAGUCAGACUUCAUACAGUACAUGAUAACAUCUUUCUAGCAAGGCUGGAACCAGCCCUGUACCUGACAUGGAUCCAGAGAUCUCCCCAUUCAUUGUUCUGCUAGAUUUAUAUCAACCUGGCAGCUCAAGGGGAGUGUCUUUUCUCCCUAUGACAGCUCAGGA